GACGAACGCUGGCGGCGUGCUUAACACAUGCCAGUCGAACGGUGAAGCGCCUUCCUUUUUGGUGGGUGUGGAUGAGUGGCGAACGGGUGAGUAACACGUGAGUAACCUGCCCCCUUCUUCUGGAUAACCGCAUGAAAGUGUGGCUAAUACGGGAUAUUCUGGGUCUGUCGCAUGAUGGGUCUGUGAAAGAUAUUGUUUCGGUGGGGGAUGGGCUCGCGGCCUAUCAGCUUGUUGGUGGGGUGAUGGCCUACCAAGGCGGUGACGGGUAGCCGGCCUGAGAGGGUGGACGGUCACACUGGGACUGAGACACGGCCCAGACUCCUACGGGAGGCAGCAGUGGGGAAUAUUGAACAAUGGGCGCAAGCCUGAUGCAGCGACGCCGCGUGAGGGAUGGAGGCCUUCGGGUUGUGAACCUCUUUCGCCAGUGAAGCAGGCCUGCCUCGUUUGUGGGUGGGUUGACGGUAGCUGGAUAAGAAGCGCCGGCUAACUACGUG
rnacentral:rRNA from 1 species